AAUGAACGCUGGCGGCAGGCCUAACACAUGCAAGUCGAACGAGUGGCGGACGGGUGAGUAAUGUCUGGGAAACUGCCUGAUGUAGGGGGAUAACUACGGGAAACGGUAGCCAAUACCGCAUACCAUCGGAUUUGCCCAGAUGGGAUUAGCUAGUAGGUGGGGUAACGGCUCACCUAGGAGACGAUGCUGAGCUGGUCUGAGAGGAUGACCAGCCAACCUGGGACUAAGACACGGUCCAGACUCCUACGGGAGGCCGCAGUGGGGGAUAUUGCACAAUGGGCGAAAGCCUGAUGCAGCCAUGCAGCGUGUAUGAAGAAGGCUUUCGGGUAGUAAAGUGCUUUCAGCAGAGAAGCGUUACCCGCAGAAGAGGCACCGGCUAACUCCGUGCCAGCAGCCGCGGUAAUUC
rnacentral:rRNA from 1 species